UCCCCCUGCCACCAUCACUCAUGUACACGCACUUCAUUUUCAUCUUCAAUAGAAAAGCGUCUGAAAAUUUAUACAUAUACAUAUAGACAUAUAUGUAUAUAUAUAAAAUGUGUAGAUUUUUUUGGCCUCAUCUUUGAUCCUGGGGAGGCACAGAAAAAUGAAAAUAUCGAAAUGGGGAAAAGUUACACUCUGGUUGUAUCAAGAAGAUAGAACUGGGCAGAAAAUGUGGGGAAAAGAAAAAGAAAGAAGGCCAAAUGAAAUAAUGAUGGUAUACCACCUUGCAUCCUGGGACACCUAGUAGGCGCUCCACCAGUGUUAGUUUGCUACACCCCCCUUUUCUUGUAUUCCCUCUUGCUGAUUUCCUGAAGUCCUAUUUGAGGACACUGCUUUAUUUCCCCCUCUCUAUCCUGUCAAAUUCACCUUAAACAACACCCAGCUAGAUACAGGCACUAGGUUUGUGUAAAAUAUGUUGAUACACACAAACAAAAUUUAUUUUGGCUAUAAUGUGUGAACUGAUGGUUGACUUUCAACAUUUGCAUUUUAUCUCACAAAGGUGUAUUUAUUCAAGUAAUCUUUUUUUGGUUGUUUGUUUCAAUUCAUGUAGCUAUUUAAACCGGGAUAUGCUGGGAUAUGCUCGACUAAGCAAUCAGCAUCCCGAUUCUCUAGCAGGCCUCUUAGUUGUGUGUGUGUGUGUGUGUGUGUGUGUGUGUUUCCUUCUAAUUUACAAGAAAGAGGAAAAGCUCUUCUAACUGAACUUUGGUAUGCGGUUGAGCUUUGUAACUAUUUGUUCUCCAUGAAAACAAAAUUAUUUAUAUUUGCCAUAUUUUUUCUAGUGUAUUAAGUUAUUUUAAACAAAAGAAGAUGCUGUUAUCUCAUGACGUGUUGUCAGUACAAAAUGUCUCAGCUCCACCUCUGUUAAACCUUUUAAAUAAGUGCCAAGUUAUUAAUCGAAGACACUUUGCGAUCAAUUGAAUGAAAAUAGCAUUGUUUCAUUUGAUGGGGUUCGCGUCAUCUUUGU
rnacentral:lncRNA from 1 species